rnacentral:rRNA from 1 species
AAUCAACGCUGGCGGCGUGCCUCAGACAUGCAAGUCGAACGAUUAAAGCUCUCUUCGGAGAGUGUAUAGAGUGGCGCACGGGUGAGUAACACGUAAGUAAUCUACCUUUGAGUGGGGAAUAACCCGGGGAAACCCGAGCUAAUACCGCAUAAUGCAGCGGCACCGCAAGGUGACAGUUGUUAAAGGAGCAAUCCGCUUAAAGAGGAGCUUGCGGCAGAUUAGCUAGNGGUAAGGUAAUGGCUUACCAAGGCUUCGAUCUGUAUCCGGCCUGAGAGGGCGGUCGGACACACUGACACUGAAUAACGGGUCAGACUCCUACGGGAGGCAGCAGUCGGGAAUUUUGGGCAAUGGGCGAAAGCCUGACCCAGCAACGCCGCGUGAAGGAUGAAGUAUUUCGGUAUGUAAACUUCGAAAGAAUGGGAAGAAUCAAUGACGGUACCAUUUAUAAGGUCCGGCUAACUACGUGCCAGCAG